rnacentral:rRNA from 1 species
AUUGAACGCUGGCGGCAGGCCUAACACAUGCAAGUCGAACGGCAGCACAGUGCUUGCUUGUGGUUACAGCGGGGGACUGGUGAGCGAGGCCUGGAAAUAUCCCUGGCUGUGGUUUCGUACGUCCUAACGCAGGCGCACAUACCCCAAUACCGCAGAGGACGAAAGGGGGAGAGCUUCGGACCUUCGGCUCUCAGGCGAUUGUAGGUGGGGUUAGCUAGUUGGUGGGGUAAAGGCCUACCAAGGCGACGAUCCGUAGCUGGUCGGAGAGGAUGAUCAGUCACACUGGAACUGAGACACGGUCCAGACUCCUACGGGAGGCAGCAGUGGGGAAUAUUGGACAAUGGGCGAAAGCCUGAUCCAGCCAUACCGCGUGUGUGAAGAAGGCCUUCGGGUUGUAAAGCACUUUUGGUGGGGAGGAAAAGCAGUAGGUUAAUACCAUGCUGUUCUGACGGUACCAACAGAAUAAGCACCGGCUAACUUCGUG